CUGGAGUGAGGGAUGAGAGAGAUUGACAGUGGAAAAAUCUCUCCUACAGCCGGAUCUCUGGAAUUUUCCAUGGUUUCUAUCCCCCACUAAUUCCUCUCCCCCUCCUUCCCGCGCCUAAUUCACUCAGCCCUCACCUCUCUCUACCCCACUCAGACUCCCCCAUCUCCCAACACUGUCAAUCUCUCUCAUCCCUCACUACUCUGCCUCUACCAUCUGUCUCAUUCUCCCUCUCCGCAAAACCGAGAACCACCAUCACAUCAUCUCCAAACACCACCCAAACAAAAUAACGUCCCUGGAGCUUUUGCGCUGAUUCCAGUUUUUUUAGCGGUUUCCAAGAAACGCAGUCUGCGAUGCCUGUUCCGUCCUGAUUUGAGGAAGAUUUCUCUAGCGACUGUAAUUUCAUGGUAAGUAACCGUCUUCAGUUGGUUGUUUUGAACGCUGGAACCAGUGUAAAAAUAUCUGUCACCCCCUCAACAUGGAUGCCUCUAAUAUGGCUAAUCAGUCAGACCGACAUCCAACCGAUCGGGUCGGUGUCGGGUCGGUGACCAGAUCGAGCUAGCAGAUCAGACCGACAUCCAAGAAGCUGCAAAAUUAGAAGGCAACAAUAUUACAGUUUUAACAAGUAGCAUGGAUCCUGAUGCUUUCAACGCUGCAAAACAAGGCAAUCUCGAUGUCCUUAAGGAACAUGGCGAGAAUCUGGACAAAAUAUUGACUGCAACCAAGAACACAGUCCUUCAUAUCUAUACAACAUGCUAUAGGCACCCAACGUAUGAAGGAUCUGGCGAUGAGAUACUUGAGUCAAUGAACACUGUGAACGGUAUCCUUAAAAUGUGUCCAGUAUUACUAUGACAGCAGAACGAGAGUGGUGAUACUGCCCUACACAUUGCGGCAAGAUAUGGGCGUGCUGGUAUAGUUAUAGCUCUCAUCCAAGCUGCAAAAACUUAUUAUCCAGGCAACCUCGAGCAAGGCUGUGCGAUUGCAUCAGAAGAUGCCCUCUCGUAGGAGCAAAAGCUCAUCAGGAAAACCAACAAGAAGAAUGACACAGCACUACACAAAGUUGUUCGCGCUUCACCACACCAAAGUAAUUAAAGCGGACAACUUCGUGCAGUGUUGUGUCCUUCUUGUU
rnacentral:sRNA from 1 species